GAUGAACGCUGGCGGCGUGCCUAAUACAUGCAAGUCGAACGCUGGAAAUCUAGCUUGCUAGAUUGAAGGAGUGGCGAACGGGUGAGUAAUACAUAAGCAACCUACCCACGAAGACUGGGAUAAUCUCUGGAAACGGGGACUAAUACCGGAUAGGUAAUCGGAAGGCAUCUUCUGAUUAUUAAAGGUUAAAAACACUGGUGGAUGGGCUUAUGGCGCAUUAGUUAGUUGGUGAGGUAACGGCCCACCAAGACGAUGAUGCGUAGCCGGCCUGAGAGGGUGAACGGCCACAUUGGGACUGAGACACGGCCCAGACUCCUACGGGAGGAAGCAGUAGGGAAUUUUCGGCAAGGGGGGAAACCCUGACCGAGCAACGCCGCGUGAGUGAUGACGGCCUUCGGGUUGUAAAGCUCUGUUGUAAGGGAAGAACGGUAGAUAGAGAAUAUCUAAAUGACGGUACCUUACCAGAAAGCCACGGCUAACUACGUG
rnacentral:rRNA from 1 species